rnacentral:rRNA from 1 species
GAUGAACGCUAGCUACAGGCUUAACACAUGCAAGUCGAGGGACCGGCGCACGGUUGAGUAACGCGUAUCCAACCUACCCAUUACUGUGGGAUAACCUGCCGAAAGGCAGACUAAUACCGCAUAGUAAUGGAGGGGGAUGCGUCUGAUUAGCUUGUUGGCGGGGUAACGGCCCACCAAGGCAACGAUCAGGAGUGGAUCUGAGAGGAAGGUCCCCCCGGUUGGAACUGAGACCCGGUCCAUACUCCUACGGGAGGCAGCGGUAAGGAAUAUUGGUCAAUGGGCGCGAGCCUGGACCACCCAAGUGGCGUGCAAGAUGACGGCGUCUGGGUUGUCAACUGCUUGUGUAUGAGGAUAGGUACCUUACGAAUAAGGACCGGCUAAUUCCGUGCCAGCAGCCGCGGUAAUUC